rnacentral:rRNA from 1 species
GGCGGACGGGUGAGUAACGCGUGAGGAACCUGCCUUGAAGAGGGGGACAACAGUUGGAAACGACUGCUAAUACCGCAUGAAGCAUAGGGGUCGCAUGAUUCUUAUGCCAAAGAUUUAUCGCUUCAAGAUGGCCUCGCGUCUGAUUAGCUAGUUGGCGGGGUAACGGCCCACCAAGGCGACGAUCAGUAGCCGGACUGAGAGGUUGAACGGCCACAUUGGGACUGAGAUACGGCCCAGACUCCUACGGGAGGCAGCAGUGGGGAAUAUUGGGCAAUGGGCGCAAGCCUGACCCAGCAACGCCGCGUGAAGGAAGAAGGCUUUCGGGUUGUAAACUUCUUUUAAGAGGGAAGAGCAGAAGACGGUACCUCUAGAAUAAGCCACGGCUAACUACGUGCCAGCAGCCGCGGUAAUACGUAGGUGGCAAGCGUUGUCCGGAUUUACUGGGUGUAAAGGGCGUGCAGCCGGGUCUGCAAGUCAGAUGUGAAAUCCAUGGGCUCAACCCAUGAACUGCAUUUGAAACUGUAGAUCUUGAGUGUCGGAGGGGCAAUCGGAAUUCCUAGUGUAGCGGUGAAAUGCGUAGAUAUUAGGAGGAACACCAGUGGCGAAGGCGGAUUGCUGGACGAUAACUGACGGUGAGGCGCGAAAGUGUGGGGAGCAAACAGGAUUAGAUACCCUGGUAGUCCACACUGUAAACGAUGAAUACUAGGUGUGCGGGGACUGACCCCCUGCGUGCCGCAGUAAACACAAUAAGUAUUCCACCUGGGGA